UUAAAGAAAUAAAUAUUAAUUUAAUUUUGCUUGGGUAUUACGAACACAUGUUUAAAACCUAAAGGACUUGGCGGUACUUUAACCCACUUAGGGGAACCUGUCCUUUAAUUCGAUAAUCCACGACAAUCUUAUUUACUUUAGAACAUUUCAGCUUGUAUACCGUCGCCAUAAGUUAACCUUAAAAAGAAAAAAAGUUAACAAUAAAGAUUAAAUUAUUUUGAUAAAUUUUCUCAUAGGCCAGAUCAAGGUGCAGCCAAUAAGUAAAGAAGAGAUGGGUUACAAUUAAUAAAUUCUAAUGGAAUCUUAAAAGAAAAAUAAAGAACAAAAUAGGACUUAAAAGUAAUUUGUAAAAAUCACUACAAAUGAAUAAGGAAAUAAAGUGUGU
rnacentral:rRNA from 1 species